GACAGCUUGGCCGAGUGUUAAGGCGAUAGACUAGAAAUCUAUUGGGUAACCCGCGUGAGUUCAAAUCUCACAGCUGUCG
rnacentral:tRNA from 1 species